AGAGUUUGAUCCUGGCUCAGAACGAACGCUGGCGGCAUGCCUAACACAUGCAAGUCGAACGAAGUCUUCGGACUUAGUGGCGCACGGGUGCGUAACGCGUGGGAAUCUGCCCUUGGGUACGGAAUAACAGUUAGAAAUGACUGCUAAUACCGUAUGAUGUCGCAAGACCAAAGAUUUAUCGCCCAGGGAUGAGCCCGCGU
rnacentral:rRNA from 1 species